rnacentral:lncRNA from 1 species
UUUUUUUCUCUACCCACUCCUUUCAAGGUUCCAACUACAUACCUUGAGCUGCUGAACCCUGAAACUCCAAAAUUCCUGGUAUUUUAUAUGUGCCAAUGAACAACUGAGUUCUUUUUAUGUGAUGAAAAAACUGAAGAAAGUAAAUUCUCAGACAAAUCGUAAGAAACAUUGGAGUUUUUGUUCAAGCUUACUGCAAGCCAAGCCAAAGGAUUCUCUCUUGGGAGAAAUAUGUAUGGAAAAGAAAGAAAAAGAGUACUCAAAGGAGGAAGAAGAAGUUACAAGAAAGAAGACACAGAGGAAGGCAAAUAAACGAAAGCCUGGUUGAAGAUGGCCUGCUCCACACUGUCAACAGGUGGGUGGCCAACCCACUUCCCAGAAGAGGCCCUCAACUCAGUAACACAUGCAGUGUCCAGCAUUUGAUUAGGAAUGCUAAUUACUUCCCAUAACAGGCCUAAGACCUUUUAAAGUAAGUAAGAACAUUUCUGUCCCCAGGCCAUGUUCUCUCUCACUUGUUUUUCCUCUCUUUACUCACAACUAAUAAACCCCGUCAAGUUUUUAAAUUAAAAAAAAAAAACAGGAAAUAGGUAUUUAGGCAAUACCAAAGAGACAUGGGCACUACCCCUUCGCUACAAUGCACUCAGUGACAAGCCUUUCUGUGUGUCUAGCCAUCAUUUCAUUCUUCUAGUACGUUGUGCCCCAAUGGAAAGGUUUUCACUGACAUAUUACGGUCUGACUUCUAUCUGCUUACUGUAAUGCCAUUGCUGCCCCUCCAAUCUGCUUUUUUGUGCAAAGGGCUCUACUGGCUGUGGGCUCUAGAAUAGCAGUUUGACCAGGCAAGCAAUGAGAACACCAACAGCUUAGAGAAUCAAUCCUGUUGGCGUCGUUUUAUUUAAAUCUUCUAUUAAAGAGAGUUCCUGGGGUACCUGGAUUGCUCAGUCAACUUAAGCAUCCGACUUCGGCUCAGGUCAUGAUCUCACAGUUCAUGGGUUCAAGCCCCUCAUUGGGCUGACAGCUCAGAGCCUGGAACCUGCUUCAGAUUCUGUCUUUCCCUCUCUCUGCCCUCCCCCACUCAGGCACUCUCUCUCUCUCUCUUUCUCUCUCAAAAAUAAAUCAACAUUAAAAAAAAUUUCAAGAGCAUUUGUAACAUAUGCCAAAAGUAGGCAGAGGAUGAUAAACUUUUGUAUACCCAUAACCUAGCUUCAAUAAUUGCCAACUCAGGCUUAUCAUAUUUAAUCUCUCCUCACCCACUUCUCUUCCUCUUGUAUUAUUUUGAAGCAAAUCCCAGACAUAUCCUUUGGUCUGCAAACUUUUCACUGUGUAUUUCUACACCAUAAAGUUGAUUCUAUAUAAACUCAUUACCAUUGUCACAAUUUAAAGAUUGGGGCGCCUGGGUGGCGCAGUCGGUUAAGCGUCCGACUUCAGCCAGGUCACGAUCUCACGGUCCGUGAGUUCAAGCCCCGCGUCAGGCUCUGGGCUGAUGGCUCAGAGCCUGGAGCCUGUUUCCGAUUCUGUGUCUCCCUCUCUCUCUGCCCCUCCCCCGUUCAUGCUCUGUCUCUCUCUGUCCCAAAAAUAAAUAAAAAACGUUGAAAAAAAAAUUUUUUUAAAAAAAGAUUAGCAAUAAUCCCUUAAUAUCAUUAUAUUUCCAGUAAGAGUUCAAAUUUUCAACUGCUUCUUGAAUGUCAUAAUUUUAUUUUGCAGUGUGUUGGAAUCAGGAUGCAAAUAAGGUCUACAUGCUGUGAUUGAUUGGUAAGUCUUUUAAGUGUUUUUAUAGGUUCUCUUUCUUCUCUCUCUCUCUCUGCCCCUAGUCCCUGCAAGGUGUUUACCGAAGAAACCAUUUGGAGUCUUAUAGAAUUUCUCAAGGUCUGGACAUUAACAUGCCUUUGUGGCAUGCCUUCUUGGAAAUUGGUAGGUAGAGCUAGACACUGCUGGCUUGUUUUUAAAUUACAUUUGUAGCUUACUUUAGCACUAUUUCUGUUAUGAAAUGUUACUAUUUCUCCAAAUAAGUUGCACUUGUCCAAUUUUCAUGUGUUUCAAAG